GGGUGCGUACCUCAAAGGGAAGAGUGUUCGCUUUGUAUGCGAGAGGUACGGGGAUCGAUACCCCGCGCCCCCA